ensembl:lncRNA
UCUGUGUAAUGUAAUGCCUGGUUAUUUCUGGAUGAUGUAAUACCUGGUUGUUUCUGGGUAAUGUAAGACGUGGUUAAUUCUGGAUGAUGUAAUAUCUGGUUAAUUCUAGGUGAUAUAAUACCUGGCUGUUUCUGGAUGAUGUAAUACCUGGUUAAUUCUAGGUGAUAUAAUACCUGGCUGUUUCUGGAUGAUGUAAUACCUGGUUAAUUCUAGGUGAUAUACUACCUGGUUAGUUCUGCCUAGAUGUAGACAAAUCACUCAAGGUCAACACAAAAAGCAAGACAGCAAGAAUGGCAACAUCAAUCUUUAAUGGCUUAUGCCCUGUCUUCAUUUACAUGAUCAUAAAAGCCUUUUCUCAUCUAUUUUUGGUUUUAACAAAAGAUCUCAAAGAGCCCCUGAAAUUCACUGAAGUAUGGAUUCUCGUCACAGUAGCAAAACAUGAAUUUCAACAGUAUGCAUUGAAAAAGAAAACAAUAUAUACAUGCUAUGAACAUGCACAUAGCACAUACAUUCAAUCAUACAGUAGAUUUAGAACAACACAUACAUUUUUCCAUCCAACAAAUGAAUAUUACUUUUUGUCUUUAAAGGUUAUGUUGGGAAACAAAAUGUCCUUCCAUAUGUUUAACUCUACUUGACAAAUGACAUCUCAGUGAGAGUAAUGUGGCAUGGAUCUAUUCAUAAACAUAUUCUGGUUCUGACCAGUUUUCCUCUUUGUAGUCACAUACCCAGGUUACAAUCAGAUAAAGACAUGUAAUUCUUAAUGAUGUCAUCAUCACGUCACAUUGAUUUUGCUGUCAGGUAAAAUAACAAGUUAACAUUACAUUUAAAACACAUUAUUUAUUUAUUUUUUAUUUUUUUGGGGGGGGGGGUUGCUAUCAAAACAGUAAAAAACAACAACCUCCCUUUCAUCAGUCUAUGACAUCACCAUAAAUGUACAUCACAAUAACGGGAUUUAGUUUUGGCCAACAUGUCUGGGUAUAGGAAGAGUAACCACUACAUAGUGAGAUAAGUACAAUUUAAAGGGGAUAAAAUUGCUAAAGUGAUGAGAGCGGUGGAGUAUUGUGAAUUUUGGGGUACUUAUGCACUAGUUUUGAGAUUUCUACUGGAAAUGGAAAAACACAAAAAGAAAUCUUAUUUUUAACAUGACAAAAAAAGGUUUCAAACGAUCACACAUUCUGGGUUAUGAACGACCCAAGUUUGUGAACUCACAGUGACACUUUUGAUCUGGAAGGUUAAUUGCAUCGGCAUUUAAAAGGAAUAUACCUAGAUGAAUGCAUUUACAAUGCUUAUGUACAGCAGGCCCUUUAUGUGUGGGUGUCUUACACAUUCUCCAGAGCAACGUCAAAAUGUUUUUAGUUCCGUCCCAUGUUCCACGUGUUAUCAACAACUCAUCGGUUGAACGUAACAUGGAAACACGAGACUCAGUACCUGUGUGCGUGUGUUUAUAGUACAAGACAACCGGCAGCAAACCGAACUGAAAUCUUAAAACAGCAAACUCGGUAAGCCACAUUACAACCAGAAAGAUUACUCUUGAUUUCUGUUACCCACUUUGGUAAAAAUGUGGGCCGUCGAAGAGUCAACUCGCAGGAUUUGCUGGUUAAGAGCAACCAGUCGUUUAAAGACUUUUCAUACAAAACACAUUACACUCGUAUUUUAAUGCUCUAACAUGGAUAUGUAGGUUUUACCUGUAUAGGCGACCUGUAGAGAUGAUGUCUCACCAAUGUUUUCAGUUUCUUUUUGAUGCUUUCAGACAAUGCGAUUAAUCAUGGACAGUAAAAUUACAAACAGUUAACUUAAGUCAACUGAUUACCUCUAGUAAAAACAUUAACAAACUCUAAAAACAUUAACACAAUGUUGCUGAACCAGUCUUUUCAAGCAGUAGAUUACACAGAAAACACUUGAAAGCUACUUCUUUCGGGAUCUUAGGACGCUCUGGCAAGCAGGCGAAGGCAGGAAAUAACAGCACAACUUCAGACUAUAUCAGAGGAUUUGACACAGGUGUUGGCAUGGAAUAAUUCCACGAGCCAAACCUUUACGCAUACGAAAGCACCAGUUUGGCCCGUGUUGUUUUGUGUGCUGCACUGUUCUUCUGGUUUACAUUAAAGUGUAGGGCUGAUUUCCCACGCAACAUUAAACCCGGGGACUAAAAACUAUUUUCAAUCCGAAGUCCCAGUAGAAGUGCUUUCUUAGUCCAGGAGUAGAAUGAAUCAGGACAAGGGAAACCACCCAUAUGCUGCGUUUAAACAGGCAGCCCAAAUCAGUUUUUUCCCCUCACAAAUUGGUGUCAGAUUUUUCUUUUAGGAGCUUUCAGAAUUAGUAAGAAAAACGGAUGAUUUUACAUAGUGCUGAUUUGAAAAUAUUACACAGGUAUUCUAGACUGCCAACUGGCAUCCAAGCAUCGCAGAUGUCAUAAGAUACUGAUUGGCUAAGCACUUGCGUUCUUGUCUGACGUCCAAUUGAUCUAGGUAUAGGUCGCACAAUUCCAUAACCCAGUUGUCUAAAAUAAUAAUGUGCACACCAUAAUGUAGAAGUUAAAUUCCCAAGAGAUUGAUCGUGUUUGGCAUUGGUUUGGUGCUUUAUCCUAUAAAAAGCCUAGGGACUGACGUAAAGCCCCACAAACAAAUUCAAAUCCUUACCGUCACAGCAAAAACGUACACUGUUAGAAAUAGUUUAUCUUGUUUUUAUGGCAGAUCCAUCAGCCUGGUAGGACCCAUAGGAAAAGUAAGGAAGAUCGAUGGUCUCUAACGUUAUUCUUCACACACUUUGUACACAAAGAACAAUCAAACAUUUGAAACAUUGGCUUGAUUACAAAAAUACACUUUGGUUUAUCAUUAAAAUAUCUUAAAAUAUACAGCAUUGUCAUUGAUUUUUCUUUUUUUUUCUUUUUGUUUUCUUCUUUUGGCAAGUCAUGCUUUUACACAUAGUAAUAUUAUUAAUAAAGAAAGUUUUACAGAAUAGUAAUAAUUAUAGUCAGUAAUAAUAUAAUCUGGUAACAUUUUGAUUGUACUGUAUGUAAAUAAGACUUUCAUUCACGCGCGUUUACAAUCCGAAACGUUUAAUCCCAACUCAUAUGUCCAAAAAUUCCACUUUUCAGUGUAAAGCAAUAUACUUUGUUUUUCAACACGGGUGGUCUCAUGCCAAAUAAUAAAAGGUUUGUGAAUUUCAACAAAGGGUUUUCAAGGGUCUUGUUCCAAUAAGCACAAUCGCCCAGCAAUCUUUGCUAGCAUGGAUAUUGGAACGUUGCCUUUGAAUUAGGCUAAGUAAUUGUCAUUAAAGCAUCAUUAGGUCUUAUGUACUGUACUUGAACCAAAGUUUCACCAAUCAUUAUUGAGAAUGUAACAGUUUAAAAAAAGGAGCGGGUGGUGGGGGGGGGGGUUGAUGUGUGAUGGCAGAUAGGAAGACCUCAGGCCCAAGAGUUGUCGCUGUCUAGAAGAACCAGAGAGAAGGAGGGGGGGGGGGCCGAGAGAAAAAGGUGAGAAAGCGAGAGAGACCAGGGGAGAGGGACGGGGGUGGCCGAGACAGAGAGGUGAGAGAGAGAGAUCGGGGGAGAGGGACAGAGAGAGAGGCGUGAAUGAAAGUGAGAGACAGAAUGUGACAGGGGAAACAGAGGGAGAGGGCCAGAGAGAGAAAGACAGGAAAGAGAGAGACAAAGAAGGAGAGGCUAGAAUGGAAGUGAAAGACGGACAGGGACGGACAGGGACGGACACAGAGAGACAAUGAGCGGUGAGUGAAAGAGACAAAGACACAGAGAGAGAGAGGUGGGAAAGUCAGGGAGAUGGGGAGAGACAGAGAACAUGAGUGGCAGAGGGAAAAAGAAAGUGAGGGGAGAGAGAGAGACAGAGGAAGAAAUAUGUUACCAUGGCGACAGCACCCAAGCCCCCCCCCCCCCCAACACACACACACAAACACACACACACGAACACACACACACGUUGUCGCCACACGUCUUGUUCUGGGUGUGAAACCGAAACCACCCUCGUCUUCAGCCGGCCCAAACUAAAAUACCCAGAGUGACCGGACAGCCUCAGGCCACCACACACAUUUCAGCACAAGUCACCGGCAUUGAGAAAUCCUUUGUGAAAACCUCCACUCAGCUUUCACAGGUUCCUCCACAAAUCUCCCCACUCACAUUGGACCGGAGCUCGGCGACCAGCUCCAGGUGUGACUUACACCCCCCAGACUGCCCCAAGUGCCCUGACUGUUCGGCCGUGAACUUACCGACGGUCCACUCGGCGGCGAACGAGGUCACGAGUCCUCAGUUUGGACGUGAGAACCGCCGGCGACGCCGUCAGGGCCAACCGAGACCACCAUCACACAUCAGGAACCUGGAGAGAAAACAAACCGUUUAAAAAAAUGGAUAAACGUUAGUCUGCUGAAGGUUUAUAAGACUACAAAGGCCUUGAUGUAAUGAUUCGGAUCCACUCGGCAGAUUUGAACCAGAACGAGGGAGACAUCGGUAAUAAUGAACAUACAACACCCACGGUGACAAUACUCAGCCAACUCCGCUAACUGACAGCACAUUACGACGGAGGAUUAUGACAAAGGUUAUUACUAAAAGCAACGUGACCUUCGGGGUGAUCCAGGACUGAUUUCUUCAACUGACUUGCUGACAACCGUGCGCACAAGCGCGCGCCCGCGUGCACGCUGGCAACUCAGGCAUGGCUGGCCAGGUACCGCGUUUCUGUGUGUGCAGCCUGAGACGGAGGGGAAAUCGGGACACAUGCUUCACUAAGCCGUGCAUUCUUCAGAUUUCUAUUUGUUCGAGCCGAGGCCAGAGACUCGUGGGUUUAUUGUGGACCGCUGAGAGGUUCAGACAUUUGGGUUUAAUAUGUUACAGCGUUUGACUUGACGCAGGUGUGUUGUAAUGCAGGACGGCCAAACAAACACACUGGAGGCCUUGAUUUCAAAUGGAUUUCCCACCGGCAGUUUCCCACGGUUAAUUUUGUUAUCGGAAAAUGCCAUUAAUGAUUCACGUACAUAGGCUACCGUUUUUUUUUGGGGGGGGGGGGGGUACAGUACAGUUCCAUGUUUGAAUCACAACAUUCCCACAAUAGGAAAACAGACUUUUGUGGCAACAGAUAUAUGGAAUUAUUAGGUUCAUUAUAAUCAAAGUACAUUUGAUGUCAUGGGGCAGAGCUCUUCUCAUGGCCAAAUCAAAACCGACAGCCUAACAGUAUUGUAGAGUGUGUUAUAACAGUGCGUUAUAACAGUGACAUAAAAAGACAGAGACAAAGGCCCUUAAUCGUCCGAAAAGCCUUUAGGCUGGAGUCGUGUUUAUUACAUUCCUAGCACAUGCAGCAGACUGGAGAGGUGGUGGACCCACCUGGUUGUGUGUGUGGGAAUCUUGGACAGGGCAAACUCUGGUGUACACUAUGUGUUUGAGCGUGUAAACAUGAAUAGAAUAAUUAAAGUUAAUUUCUAUCGUAGGAAGAGAACUUUAAACACAUCCUUCAGUUCAAUAAAAAAGUCCAAAACCAACUUCUGAGUUUGGUGAAGUUAUUUGGGGGAAAGAAAUAAGUAAAUAAACUAUUUGUUUUUCACAUCAGGCAUGUUUAUAUUGUCGUAAAGUAUUUUAGUUAAGACGGCUUAGGUCCAUCAUUUUACAAAAGAGGAGUUAGUUUCCUGUGUUUCUGACACAAUCUGUGCAACAAGAAACACAGUGCGUAUAGUAUGUGAGGUCUUAAGAGGGUUUACUAUCGUCCAGGGAUAACAGCACGAAACAGACACACGCUGUGAAAGAAAAUGCAUAAUUCCACACUAUACCUGGACGAGACUACAAGAACGUAAUUCAACCAAAAAGGCUACUGGUGAAACAAGCAAGCAGUCCACAAAAUGGGGUCUGCCCAAACAUGGACAGACUGUCAGACUGAAAUUUAUAUUGUGAACUUUCUACUGUUGCCGUCAGGCUCACUGUGUGGAAAUGAGAUUCUGCACUGCAUGUCUGAGUAAGAGUGAGACUGAAUGUGAGAGAAGGUGUGGGUGGAGCUGAAUGUGUGAGAGUGUG